AUAGCAUGUACAUAGAUACUUGUUCCCUACCCUUAUCCUACUCUCAUACUAUAUUAUUAACAACUGGCUUUUAAACCAACAGGGAAGAUAAAUAGGAAAAUCUUUUCUAAUCUUUAUCCCUUUCAGAUCUAUAACUCCUGAUUGGGAAUAUGUGUAUGCUUUAUUUAAGAUGAUACUGGGAGGUAGACUAGUAUAGUAGAUAAAGGACUUAGAGUCAGAAUUCCAGGGUUCAAUGCCCCUUUCUGGAAUAUUUCAAAUGUCUGCCCUGAGCUUAGUAAAUUAAUCUCUUGUUGCCUGAAGCAACUUUAUAAAAUUACAAACUGCAGAAUUGAUUCCAGUAUACUUUGCUAGAGGGAAUAUCCUCACUAGUGACUUUCAACAUAAAUGAAAUCACAGGUCUGGACAAAAAGAAAAUGAACAUCUUAUCAGGACUGAUCAGAAUGCUUGAUGUGGAAUUUGAUACCAAUGAAUGAAAGUGGCAGAAUAAGUAAUGAAUGCAUAAAUCUUGUUCUUUUAUCACAUUACUGAACUAUCAUCCAAAUAAUGCACAAUCAAGUACUUUUUUCCUGUAGAACAGGAAGGGAAAAUAGAAAUGUUUGCUUAUAAAUCUCUUCUUAUAACAUGGUACAUCACAUUUUUCAAGAAAAAUAGGAAAUUCCUAAAUGGGAAAGACCCUAAUUAACACCAUCCCUAUCACUCUCCCCAUACAUCCACUUGAAAGUUCAUUCAAUCCAUUUUUCUGUUUUGCAUGUAAAAGAUUUUUUCCAGGGAUGCUCUCAUUCCUUAAAUGGUUAGGUCACACCUUGGAACUCAGAGGCACAACUGUCCCCUCAGGGUGACAGUUGGUAGAAAACUGAGAAUUCUACUUUUAAACAGUGGUUUUCAACCCUUUAGAACAUUCUAUAUUCAGAUAUCUUUCCCAUACUGAAUUCAGCCAAAGGUCAAAGGCUUCAUAUAAGACCUGCAUUUCUACCUCUUAUCUGUAACCCUACAGUUUAGAAUUGGUCUUUUGAGAGUUGCUGCUGAAGAUAAUGGAGAUGGAGGACGUGGGGAACCCCACCAGCAAAGACAGUAAAGCCUUUCUCACAGGUUCUUUCUUCCUAACCCUGCCCUAGAUUAUCCUUAUACAUCUUCCUCAUCCAGCUUUAAUGCCAUUCAGUACCAAUUGUCUCUGCCUCUUUCAAUUAUUUCUCUCUCCUCUCAUGUCAUAUGCCACUGCCCCUAAAACCCUUCCUUUCCUCCCAUCCUACUUCAAGGAAGAGUUAGUAAUGAAGACAUUAUAGAAUAAUAGCCCUGGAAAGAGCAUUGCAGAUGCUUUCUUCUAUUCCUCCUCAAUUUUAAAAUCAAGAAAGCUGAAUCUCAUAAAAGUCCAAUAACGGGUAUUAUCAUAGGAAUUAACCAACCAGGUGAUGGACUUUUCUGUCAAAUACAACUAAGGAAGAUUUUCUACAAAGGCCUGAAGGGGUUUUUCAUUCAGUUUUAAUGGGAAAGAUUAUGCACCUUGAAGAGAUCACCUAAGGAAAUAUUGGACUAUGUAGAACAUUAGAUCUCUUGAUUUGUAGUCAAAACAAUAAAUUUGGACUCAGGAUGGGCUAUCCUUCACAUGUUGCAUAGCCUUCUAAGGUCUCAGGUUUCUCAUCUAAUAAAACAAAGCUAACCAAGAUACUGAAAAAAGUCAAGACAAACUUGGAAUCUGUUUUAGUGGAAGGAGGUGUCUAUAAUGUAGAAAUCACAAAUUUUUGAACUAUGUAAGAUAAAAUUUUGGAAGUAAGACUUAGAUAAGGGCUGUUAAAUGAAAUUUUCUUGGAAAAAAAAAGAAUGAUGUGGAAGGAAAAAAGAAUGGAAAAACAGACAUGAUGUAGAAAAAGGGAAUUAGAAAGGGCCCUACCAAGAUAGACUUUUUUCUCCUUCUAAGGAGGUACCUGUCUUCAAAGAAUCUAAAGAAUAUGUACCUAAGCUGUGGAUCCCAUAUAGAGGAUUUGGCUGUGUUCCAUUCUGUUCAUAUCCUCCAUUUCCAAUCCCUCAAAUUCUUUUAAGCCUUUUUAGUCAUUUUUCAAUUUUAUAUUCUGGCUUCUAGUUCCUUUUAGUAUGGCCUUGUACUUUUUUUUUCCUGCUGGGUCCUUGGGAAUGGAAGUCCUCCAAAUUACAAUGACCAAUCUGUCACCAUGACCAUUAAGCUGCUACCUUUUCUCUUCCCUAGAUUUUAUAUCAAUAUUUUUUUCUAAAACAAUGUCAUCUGUGCCUAAAAUAGGCACUGGGACCCACUUCUUCUAGAUGACAGUUGAUAGAAUCUCAGUAUUCUACUUUUUUGGAAAGUUAAUUUUAAGUCCAGUACUCAGCUCUUUCAUAAUUCAGAUUUCUUUCCAAAUCCCUGAGGCCUAGAGCAUAAAACAAGACCCGAGAUUCCCUGGGUUUGUAGACAUGAAAAUUAGACAGUCUUUCAGAAGUUCCCACCCCAGACACUGGGGACAAACAGCCUAGAAUACAGGAGGAGCAAUAAAGCCAGUAAAAUAAUUGCAGUUCCCUCACCCUCUGGCCCCAAAAUUUCCUAGUUCCUAUUUCUUAGGUCCUACUUACAUUUCCCACUUACUCACUUCCCCCCAACCUAUGCACAAAGGUUAGUAACUUUGAGGUUUCUAUAGAUGGAAGUGACCACUUGUUAUAGGGUAAGGGAGAUUUAUUAUAGGCAUACCAGAUAAUUCAAGCAUUCAGCAGGUCUUUCAGUUAUUGGAAGACAUGGUUAGCAACCCUUUUUGUAUAGUCACCCAGAGGUCUGCCUCUUCCUUUUGGCCAUAGGAGUAUUAGAGACAAGGGCCUCCAAAGGUAGGAUAAAGUAGAAACUACUGCCAUAAUACAGCUCUCACACCUCAAAUGAUGUCAGCCUCUACUCUGGAUUUUAUAGAAUUUAUAGUCUUCAGGAAGCCUUAAUAGAAAAAUACCCAGCAUUGUCUUUUUGAUAUGCCCAAGGUGCUAAAUUGCUCCCUUUAUUUCUCCAAGAAUAUUCAUAUGCAAGGCACUUGGUGGGUGGGGAGAGAAAGGUUUGAGAGCAUCCUAGGAAAGAAAAGCUUUGCUUCUUAUACCUUUCAAAGGACAAUUCUGGGCCUCAGCAAAUCUGAAGAACACUAAUACUUUUGGUCACGGUUUUCUUUGAUUUCUAAGCUGAAGUUACCAUAAAAAGUAUGGGAUCUACUUCAUUCUACUUAUCCAAUUCCAACUAAAACUAUCAAUUCUUGCAGCCCCCUUCAUCUACAUUUCAAUUGGAAGAUCGAGGUUGUAAAAGAAAAAAAAGGAUCAGAAUAGAAUGGCAAAAGCAGAAAAGGCAAAGAAAAUCCAGAAUAAAUAAUAAUAAUAAAGCAACCUUCUAAAGGGAAGACAGGGAGAGGAGUACAGAAAGAAUAGUGUUAAGAAUCACUGAAUUAGAGAGACAUUUUGCCUCCAUAAAUAAUGACAUGAGUGAGAAGCAGAAGACUAAAACAGUGAUCCCUUAAGAGGACACAGGAGGACUGGGCAAUUCCACUCAUUAUAAUCCUAUUGAUCUGGAGUCUGUCACCACAGUUACAGGCUUCCAUGUGCCAGAGGCAGGAUCAGCUUUUAAGUUAGUACUGUUAGAUUUCCCUAGGAAAGGCACCCCAAAUCAAAGGGCUUAAGAAAAAAAGUUCUAUAAGCAAAGGAAACACCCAGGAAAGAAUUUUUUAGUCCAUUUAGAUAUUCAAAUGUUGUUAAAUAUACAACUUUCCUGUCCUUUUGAAAUAUAUUCUUCCCAUCCUCUCCCCUCUCUUCCAUAUGUUCCUAUUGUUCUUAUAUUCCAAUUUCCAGGUCAUUCUGACUUUACAAUGAUGCUUGCAUCUCUUCACAUAGAUUUUGGAUCAUUGGUACACAAAGAAUUAACUGUGUGGAUGGAGGAGAGAGAUUUGCUUAUGAUAUUACUGAUUUUAUUCUUCCAAGUUUUGGCUUGAGAACUAUAUACCUACUUUAUGUAGUUUUGCUGAGCCAAGUUUCUUUCAAUCCUGUUUUGAUACUGGAUGAAAUCAGGUUCUAGAAAGAUCAAUUCCUGCAUCAUGGUGUUUAGAGGAUUAAGGUUAGGUAGAGAUCUGCCCACUCAAAAGAGGAAGAAAGUAUUUAGCAAAUUUAAUAUUGCCAGAUUGUUACUUCAAACAUCUUGGUGAGAGAUAACAUCUUUGUACAAGCUGAACAAGAAAUGAAAGAAUCACCAAAGGGGCAGGAAAUUAUAAUGCAAACUAUUUAAAGACAAAGCAGAAGAACAUUAGGGUACUAGUUCCUAUUCACUUUCCUGGUGAUCUUUGAAGAUCAUUUUCUCUUAGCCUAGUUUUAUCAUCUGUUGAAUGAGAAUAAGAACCAUCCUGUUUAAGAGGGCUAUUUAGAGCACCAAACAUAAUAUAUUUGAAGUUACCAAAGCAGUGAAACCUAAAUGACUUAGACACAAUGAAAUACUAUGAAAGGCAUAGUAAAGAUGAUGAUGAUGAUGUCUUGGAAUUAGUGUGGUGUAAGGCCCUCCUGAAGUUUGAGAAUUAGAAUAGAAAGGGAUGGAUGCAAGAGAUAGUGUGAAAGAAUAAGCACACCUUGGUGGGUGGGGGGAGGAAGGGAAUAAAAGAGGAGGAAGGGUAAAAGCUGGCUCUGCUGUUUGCUUCAGUUCCUCAUCUGUCAAAUGAGCUGGAGAAGGACACAGCAAACUACUCCAAUUUCUUUGCCAAGAAAACCCCAAAUGAAAUCUUGAAGAGUUAGACAUGAGUGAAAUGAUUGAACAACAUAUUGACACAUAUAUAGACCCUAUUAUAUAAGUAUAUGUGUAUAUAUGUGUUAUAUCCAUAUACACAUGCAUGCACACACUUAUGCAUAUUCUUUUAGAAAGUCAAUUUGGUGGAGAUGCAGUGUAUAAGGCUUAUUUUUCACCACCACAUUUCUUCUUUUAGAUUAAGGUUACCCAAGAAAUAAGCCCCACUGAUUGGCCUCACAUUUGUGUUUUUAAUAGUGAGGGUUUCUCUCUCAUCUCUGUUCUCUGGGCAAUUGCAGGAUCUUCCUCUUUCCUAACUGUUAUUAUUAGUCAAGUGAAAUUCUGGAGUUGGUUGUUAAUGUUUGCCAUUAUCACUUCCUGGUUGUAUCACCUGGACACCCAGAAGGAUGCGCUAGGCAUAUAGAGUCUCCUACUUAGAAGUUACGUUAGUGAUUACAUUAUCUAACAUAUCCAACCAGAAAUUUCUCCUCCACAAUCUUGAAGUGGUCUUCCAACCUGGAGUUGUAUAAUAGAGUGACACCAACUUGCGUUUGAAGUCUUUUACAACCUGGCUUCAAUCUAUAUUUCCAAUUUUAUUUUGUAUUAUGCCCUUCUCUUCUUCCCCCUCCCCCAAGACUACCUGAAAACCAAACUUUCCUUUUUACUUUUUCAUUCACACAUGAUAUUCCAUCUCCAGUCUCUACCUUUUCAAAGAUUAUAACCUGUAUCUGUAAUGUACUCAUUACUGUUCCACUUUUCAAAAUCACUAGUUUCCUUCAAAGUUCAACUCAAACACUACACCUUCUAUAGGAGGCUGCUAUGAUUAAAAUUCCCUAGAGACUGUAUCUUAAUUUAUAAUUAUUUAUUAAAUGAUGAAAAAGUAGAUCAGAGAAAGAAAAGAAACUAACCAUGUGGUAGUGUAGCCCUUAACUGCCUCCUCCCAGAGCUGGUUAUGCCAGCUUCAAGUCAGACCUUGGGUGUGCUGGUCCUCCCUUAGCCAUCCCUGAGCCAGACCACCUGUGUUGGCACUCUCCUAGCUGCCAGCUCCUGAACCAGUUUCAUAAUCACACUACAGGUGCCUCAGUGCUCUCAGCCACUUUCUCUGUCCUCAAUUCCACAGCAAGAAAAAAUCAUUCCUUCCCCUGCUCCCAAUUUACACUCCUUGUGAUGCCCCUUUCCCAAACCCCUCUGAUUUGGAGGACUCUGACCUUAGUCCAGAUAAGAGGUGGGUUUUCCAGAUGCCAAGAGUCAUCAAAUGGUCCUUAGAAUGGCUGCUCAGCACAGGUACAGUGUCUCCAAGCAUUGUAAGGAAGUCUCUACCUAGUGCCUCAGAGAGAGAUGGUUCAGAGGCUCAGAAGUAAGAUCUUUUGCUUUCAAAUCCAAAAGUUGGGUUGCCAAAAAAAAAGAAACAAAGAAACAAAGAAAGAAACAAAGAAAGAAAAUGGAGAUGUAGGUUAGCGUAGGUAGCAUUAGCAUUAAAUUUUCCACAAUCUCCCCUCAGAUUCGUAGGGAGACAUUAGUCAUCCCAGUGAAUCAUUCCAUAUAUCUAUGCAUUUCAGGAUUAUCUCACCAGUUUACAUAAAAGUUAAAAGAUAUUAUACAUUUCAUGGAGGGUCCAGCUAUAGUUGGAUGUUUCUUACUAUAUUUAAAAUGAUUGAUAGAUGCAGUGACAAGGAGCCAUUAGGGAACAUUGCCUUUUUUUUUUGGCACAAGGGUUUUACGAUCAAAAUCAAAUAAAUCAAAUAUCAGUGCAUGGGGAAGACAGAAAGGGAUGGAUGACCAAAUCCUCAGAGUCUGUCUUGUUAUAUCCAAAGGCUCACUCAGAGUCUCAGGGAUGCAGUGUCUGAUUUCUGAGGAUAUCUUGUAUUGAUGUCCUCUUUUGUCCCUCUGGAAUCAUGAUGAUCCUUACAGCAUUUUCUCCAGCUUUCCUGGUUCAAGACCUUGGCAAUAUUUUUCCCUAAAAUUGCUUUUUAAAACUCUUAAUCUAUUAACCUUUAGCACAUUUACAUGAGGCCUUUAUGAAAUUCUGCCACUAGCUCUCAGCAUUCCCCUUCACCUUGUAUUUGAAUAAGUUUUUAAUAUGUAUAUGCUGGUACCCCGUAAAGUGUGUGUGUGUGGUGUUAAAGCUUCAUAUUCUAGAGAAUGGAAGCUCCUUGAGGGUAAAGUUUGUUUUUUUUUACUUUGUUAUCACUAUUACCUAGCAUGGUGUCUGCCAUGGAGUAGAUUCUCUGACUCAUGCUUGUUUUCUGGAUUUAUAUAUUAACUCUACAUCUUUGUGACCCCACUCCCCUUCUAUGCCCUAUCCUCAUAGAUCCUAGUUUUCCCCUCUGGGGUUUACUCCCAUAGUGAAUGAAGUUGCUAGGUUUCCAUCACUGUAUCGUUCUUUCCUCCUUUUAUUGACUUUUUUGUUCAUCUUGCUAUUCUAAUUGGUUGACCCAGGCUGUACUAAGGAAGAGAAGCUGAGAUUGCAGCUUUCUCCAGAGCCCCAGGAGUUAAGAAAAGUGUGUUUGGAGGAGGCUGUGGUUGAAAGUAAUUCCUGUUACGCAAGGUCACUGAACAUAUCUUAGAUUGCCUAAGUGGAAGUUUGGACUUUGGAGACUGCAUGCUAUGGAGCCCCACAAGUUUUCAGCAAGAAAACAACAGGUUUGUCGAAUUUCAACCCUGAGGAGAGAAACUGAGUCUCCUCUCAAGAAUGGAGUCUAGAUCUUACUGAUCUGGAAAUUUCUGGGAGAGUGAUGGAGAAAUGGACCUCACGGAGAAACUGACCUCAGCCUCUAGUGUAGAGGUUAGAAUGAGGAUGCCGGAGAAAAAGCAGCUUCGGGGACUAUUUCAUUUCUUUCUUCCGAGAUUUGUCCUCAUAUCAGAAGCAGUGCCAGAACCAGCCCCCAAAUGGGAAUUUUGCCCAGGGGCAUCAGCCUGGGGUGGAGUGCAUGCUUCCUCAUGAAGCUGAGUGAUUGCCUACUUAGUAGGACUAUUCUCUGCACUCUCCUGCCCUACUAGCCUAAUGAAUGGCCUAGAGUGGGACUGUGUGGUGUCUUGCCUUACCUGCUCAAUUGAAUUUGCUAGUUUCUGCUAGUUAUAGCUCUGAUCAGAAGGAUGUCCACCAGAGCACAAUGAUGACCUCUUCAGAUCCUCAAGAUUUCAUGACAUCAUAUAUAUAUAUUUUUUUGAUUUGAUGGCAAUAGUUUAUCCAAUGAGAUUCUUCUCACCCCAGCUCCCUAAAGCCCAUUCGAGACAUUCAGUUUUCAGUCAUGAUUUGUCUACCCAGGAACUGCUAAUCAGGUAAAAGAUUUUCUUGAAUUGAUGUUUUCUUGUGACAUUUUCAAUGUAGGAAAAUACAAAUAAUUUUCACAGGAUCAUAGAUGUAGAGCUGGAAAGGAGCUCACAAGUCAUCUUGUCCAACGCUGUCACUUUUCAAAGGAGGAAAUGAUGUUUCCAUCAAAAUCUGACCACCUUGAGACAACCACAGUUUACAAUGAACUACCCUUGCCUUUUGCUCUUGCUAUACCUGUCUAAACAUCUACAGAGAACUCCUAGCCACAUCUAUCUAUCUUAACUCCUCCCGCUCUUGCCUGUGGCUAUUGCCUAUGGUUACUUCUUAUUAUCCUUCUUAGCUUGGCACUUCUGACAUCGAUAUUGAGUCGUCCUUGUAGUUCUUUUCCUUAAGACAACUGCAAGUUAUAACUUCCCCAAAUGGUUUUGGAAACCACGCCAUAGCUUAUACCUGGAAGCCCAAGUGAGGGAUUCUGUCUUUUAAAGCUUGCCUAGCAGAGGUUACAGUCUGGGCUGCCCUGAGGGUAAAUGUCUACCUGUAUUUUUGUUAUUAGUCUGAUUUGCAUAUUAGAGUAUUCUGAGAGGCUUUCUCUUUUUGUACUGGAGCUUGGGAAUGUUUUGGGAAGUAUAUUUUCCAUCUUCAAAUAUGCUUAUUUAGAUGGAUAGAGGAUUGUGAGGAAAUCAGUUUGAUUUCCUUUUGUGUGAGAUGGAAAUUCAAGGAGACCUUGACAAUAUCAAAGUACACUCUCUUUAACCAUUAUAUUUAAAGAGAGAUGGCCACCUCUGCCUUGACUGCACUGGAAACAGACUCAGCCUGGUACAAUGUUCCUGAUACAAAAUGUUCCUGGGUUUACAGAGACACUCCCAACUUAGAGGAAAAUACAAUAGACUUAUUUUAUAUAUUCAAGCAAAUUGACAUUUUCAAGAAGUUAAAAAUAGCUUUGCAGUGGGUACAUUUGGGCAAAUUGACAUUUUAAAGACGUUGGAAACAGAUACAAAGAGAGGAGGAGUUUGGGACUGGAUUGUCUGGGCGGGGCUAAUGUAAGGAUCAGUCCAGCCAUUGGGCUUGACCUCCUGGAAGAAACUUCCAAUACAAAAGGAGAGACUUCUGGGACAAAAAGGGUACUUAAAAUUUGAUAUUUAAGAUUUGAUCAGUCUGGGAUACCUGCAGCAGGCAAGUUCCCAAACAAACUAAAAAAGAGACCCAACCUAGAACACUUAAAGCUAUAAGGCUUUUGUAAAUGGAUGGGGGAUGAGGAUGGGAACUUUUUUGAUUUUAAUAACUCUUAAUAACUUGAGAAUAACACUAAAUUCUCAUUCCACAUACUUUGAUUUUUGAUAAAUCGUGUUCUGGUUGUUUUUAUUUCUUCUCAUUUUGGACAGACUGUCUUGUUUUCUUUUAAAUCAGACAAUCUUGACAAAUUUUCUGAUUUUACUUCUUAGCUGCUUAUAAAAUCCUCUCUAUGGCAAGUCAGAUAACAAGGUUUCUGAGUGAGUUGAAAUGGCCUUUUCUCUCUAUUGAAAUCCAGUAGAUGAUUGUCUGCUGUAGCCUGUCCUUUUAUUUAAAUACUUGCUGAAUAUUUUCUCAUGAAAUUUCCUGAAAAAUUGAUUAGACUCUUUACAUUUUGGGGGAGUCCAAUUACUCAUAUUUUUUCUCUUUUAAGUCCAUUAUUUUGGUUUACAAGCCUUUUAUGACCCCUUCUACUUUAUUUGUUGCUUGGUCUUUUAUUGCUCUUUUGUCCUGACCUUCCUUCUAACACAGAAAUAUACUAUACUACUUAAAAUUUUUAUUUCUCAUUGAUUCCAUGUUUUUAUUAAAAUUUUCAACUUCUCACACUGCUGGGGUUUUUUUGUGGGUAGGAGGUUAUCUAGUUCUAUUGUCAAUGAUGGUAACUCUUUUGUUAGAUAUCAGCCAUCUUUACUGAUGACUCUUGAAGUUCUUUUAUCUUCUUUAAAGUGUUAAUAUGAUUUUCUGGAGGGUUUUUUAUUUGUUUUGUCAAACCCAAUUCUUUUUCUUGGAGUAGUUUAUGUUAAUUCAUUUUUUUCCCCUUCUAAUAAGUUCUCACCAGAAUCUUUUAAUCUAUAAUAUUUGUUGAUUGUAUUGAAUUCUCUCUUUCCUUAUCUUUUUCUAUUUUCCUAUGCAAGGACUUUUCUGUUGUAAAUCUUAUGGUUACUCUCUUGUAGUCUUUAUUUUUUUUUACUUUUCUUCUUUUAAUUUUCUUUGAACACAUUUGUUAACUCUCCUUUCUGGGUUUAUUGAGGGGUCUGGUCUUUUACCAAGUUUUAUUAAGCCUUCUUUCAAGAAACCUUCAAAAUCUUCAAUUUGAGUCACAUUUCACUAAUUCCUGAUUGGGAUAGGAAGACAGCAUGAGUUGAUGAAAAACUAGAAUUAUUAUAUUCUUUUGAAGAGAAGAAUUGCCAAGUCUAUAGAAAGUAGACUGUGUAGUCUGAAAGAUCUAUGUUUAAGUUCUAACUCAGACACAUACUAAUUUUGUGAGCAUAGACAAGUAAAAGAACCUGUUUUAAUAAAUCUAAAAUAAUGCCAAUUAUUGAUCCAUUUUGGUGGUGAGAGUUUCCACACUCAAUGAUGAAAUCAUAAAUCUGAAACAAAAAAGGCAUGUUCUUGAUUUGAAUGCAAAUGAAGUUAAUCACUUUAAUUUUUUAAAAAUAGUUGAAUUUUUUUGUUUGCUUAAACUUGGGGGAAAAAACACUUUCACAAAUACAAAAAGAGAAUUUCAUUUGAGAUUUCUGAAUGACAAAGCUAUUUACAUGCCUCAGUGGAUAGUUCAUAGUAGUACUUUAUCAAAUAAUGAAUAUUGAUUGACUAUUUAUUUCUCUUGUUCCAAUUCAUUUUCUAUAAGAAAAAUAACCAUUCUGUAAUGUUUACAUCAUCGUCUAGGAAUGAGAGAGGAAAGCUGAACCAAGCUACUCAGGGUUGUUGGUCUGCCAUUAAGUAGCAGUUACCUUUCAUUUCUACUUAUGUGUCUUCACAUCAGCCAUCUUAUUUAUCCAUGUGAGUAGCCCAAAGUAAGAACAUGAAGCAGAAAUUCUACCAGAAAAAGGAUUUUUCCAUUCCCAGUUGGAUACAAAACCCUGUUGGAGAGAAGAAAGGGGAAUGUAAGGGCCAUGUAAACUGGGAAUAGAAUUUUAAUCUCUCAAGAACAGUGAUAUGAUGAAUGAUACAAAUACCUUAAUUUUCCUUUUCUGACUUUAACAUUUCUAGACUGGAGAAAGGUGAAAAACUGGUGAGGAAGAAGUAAGUUGAUGGGAUUUUCAUUGGUUUUUCCAGAAGCCAUAGGUUAACAAGGAGCCUUCACCUCAGCCUUUCCAGGGAAAUCAUCAGUGCCCUGAAACCCCAAUAACAGACUUUCUCCUGCCCUACGAAAACUUUUGACCUUAUUUAAACUACUGGAAACCUAAUUACUAAGACGAAUGGCUCAGCUAUGCAUACUUCACCCUUGUCAGAACUCAAUGUUUUUUUUUUUAUUUUUAUAAAACUUAAUUUGAAGUCCUAGCCUGGGCUCUGGCUUAUUUGGAAGUAACUUGGAUCCCUCAGGCAGACAUUGAAGAAGAAAGGAAUGAUAGGGACCUUUCCCUAGCAGCACUGUCACUGUGUGCCAGGACACAGAAAAAGAGUUCACUGACCAGGAGCCAACCCUAAUAUUAUUUCAAAGAGAAGCUAAACCCCAGGCCUUACCAGAAGGCAGAAGAAGGGGAAGGUAGGGUAACAAUUCCUGAUAGACUGCUCAGAGAAUCUAUUUCCAUGGUUUUCUACCCACUAUGUUCCUUACUCCAGAGGCUCUCAUUGAGCACUUGCAGUGUGAGAUGAAGGAAUUCUGUUUUAAACAUCCAAGUAUUCAUGAUCACAUGGUAGAGAUAAGACAUUACUAGGAAAAAGAGAAAAAGAUAAAGUAUCAUCAAUACAGACAAUCAAUCAAGCCAUCCUCUAGGGCCAUGAAAGAAGUAUCUACUAUAAGAAAUAGAUGAACAAAGAACAGGUUAUCACAAGCAAAGAAGAAUCUGAGUGUACAAGUAAUAGAUUUUAGUAGCAAACUGUUUGAAUUUCAUUUUUCAUUAUUUAUAAAUUAGGCAGUUAUGAAUAUUUUUGUAUUGAAUAAGAUCAUGCCUUAGGGAUUUAAUUUGUAUUUUUGUGAAAAUUGAUUUUAAACUAUUUUCUGGUGACUGUUGAUUGUAUUUCUCCUUUUGAAAAGCAUAUAUGCAUAUCAUUUGGUCAUGUUUGUAGUGGAGGAUGCCUAUGAAACAUAAAGAGAACUAAAAAUUGUCCAUGGAUUUUGGAUAGAAGAAUAUAAAAGGGUAUUUAAAGCAAAAAUAUAUUUUUUUCUCUUCUUGGAUCUUCUGAUUUUAGCUGCACAUAUUUUGUUUGUGCAAUAGCUUUUUUUGUGAUCAAUAUUUUCAUUUUUGUUUUUUUUAAUAAUUCCAUCUACUAUCUGUCCAGUUUCACUCAUUUCCCCCAUCUAUAUUUGUGAAAGAAAAACUCCUGCAUUUUGUACUUUUUUUUUGAUGACUUUUUGAUCAUCUAUCCAUCAGGAAUUUAUUGUGUUAUACAAUGUAAGAUGCUAACAUAUUUAUAGCUUUCUAGUUUUCAUAAUAGCUCAUAUAAAUAGAAUCCAUUUUCCAGGAGUCUGUGUUCUUGGUUUAAUCUAACUAGACUACCAUGCAUAUUUGUUUCUAUCCAUUGUCCAUCUAAUUAUUCUAAUAAGCAUCUUAUAUUUUAUCAUGUACAAAAUGGUUCUGCUAAUUCUUGCUUUAUAAUAUAGUUCUGAGAUCUCAUCAGAACAUACUUAGUUCUUUUAUUUCCACUAAAAUAACAUUUUUUUUAAUUUAUAAAACUUCCCUUUGAUAAUUUAUUGGUAUAAUACUAAAGUUUAAUAGAGUAUUUUAAGUAGUAUUGUGAAUUUUACUAUGUUGGUUCAGCCUUAACAUGAAUAUAGAGUUUCUAAUUAUUUUGUUAUCAUUUCUGUAAAAAUUUUUGCUAUUUAUAUAAUUUGUUUUCUAAAAAGAGAUGUAAUCAAAUUAAAAUGAUAAAAAAAAACACAGAGGGAGUAAAUCUAGCAGGAAUACAAGUCUUGUGAUUUCUGUAUUUCAGGUUUAGGGUUUCCCCGAAUGGAAUUGUGCCUCACUACUGGAGAGUCUGGUGACCACUUUCCUCUCUCCAAUGCCCCUACUUCCCAUAGGGACCUCUGCAAUUGUCUGGAUUAGGAUGGAUGACUACCUUGAGAACUUUGGGAUAUCUAAAAAAUUUGGUCCUUCAGGUUGUUAAAGAGUCAACUCACUUCCCAUCAUAUCUGCUGUGUCCCAAAAUAACUCAGCAGUCACUACAAUCAAGAUCUAGAGUUGUCCCCCUACAUUGUGGUUCAGUCCCUUUCUGUUGCAGGGGCAUAUACUUGCUUCUUUAGGAUUUUGGUGUUUUCCAGAGCCUUUACUUUCUCUAUACUAGAUGCUGCCUAAGUUUUUCCCUUCUCCUCUAAAGGGGGAUCCCAAACUCCUAAUACUCCGGCUGCUGUCUUUUAGCCAAUGCAACCUCUUGGGUCCAAUGAUUCUUCCUUCUGUUGCUGUCAUCUCUGAAGCUAAGAGGUUGCAUUUCUGCCUCUCCUUGCUGUUCAUAGGAACUUGGAGGUCCAGAAUUUCCUUCAAUUCCAUUAUUACCCAUAAUUUCUGACACCUCUUGCAUUAUGUUAAACCCUCACCAUAACUGUCAUUUCUGGGACUGGAGAUAGGAAGGCCCCUUAUACAGGUUCAAGAUGUAUCAUUUCCCCAAUGUUAAAAAAAAAAAUAACUCAUGUAACCAAAAUGUUAUAGCAGCACUUUUUAUUUGGCAAAAAUCUUGAUACAAAGUGCAUACUCAUUAAGGGGAUAGUUCAAGUUUUAGUACAAGAAUAUAGUGAAAUAUUACUAUGCUGUAACAAACAAUAUUGUGAGUAUAGAGAAGCAUAGAAAGACUUAAAAAAACCCCGAUUCAAAUGGAAAUGGGCAGAACAAGGAAAAAAAUAUAUGCUAUCACUAAAAUGAUCAAAAUGAAAAAAGAACAAAAUAGUUGAACUGAGUGCUAUGAAAGUAUCAUGAUCAAUUUUGUCCCCAAACAAAAGUUAUAUGAAGGAACUUGUCCUCGUUUAUCUUAAGGAAUGAGGGUCUAUGGGUGUGUAAGAUUGAGUAUAAUAUGAUUUCCUUGAUAUGUUCAAUAGUUUUGCUUAAUUUUCCACAAUUAAAAAAAUAGAAGUAAUUUAUGUCUGAGAAGGGAAUAAGAAAAGGAUGCUUUGGGAAACAGAGGUAAUGUAAAUACAAAAGCUAUCAAUAAAAUCCACUUUAAAAUAAAAUUCAAAAUAUGACCCCUGAAGCCCAGAGUUGAAUGAACCAAUGCAUGAAAAUUCAAAAUUAAGAGGUUACUAUAGACUAAUCAUUAUGCUAAACAUUAGAGGUACAAAAAAAAAAAGUGAGCCAGACAGUUGAUUCUCUCAAGUUGUUAUAUUUUAAUAGGGGAAGAUAACACAUAAAGUUGAAGCACAUGAUUAGAAAGGUAGAAAUUUGAAAUGAGAUUUGAUAUACAGAUGGCCAAUCAAGCUUUCUUUUCACUGUUUCAUACUUAGUGGUCAGAAAUAGGUAUCAUAUUGUCAUGAUUAAGAUAAAAGUAAACUGAGGUACAAAACUUGAAGCACUAUCAGUUUAUUAGCCAAGUGUGAAUUUGCCAAUAAAUAGGGUCUUUGCCUCCUCAACUAAAACCCAAAAUGAGGGUUGUGCCAUUUCCUUGGACCAAAGGAGGAGCAUUACAAAAUUAGAAGACAGAAUCAUAGGUGAGGAAAAUGAUUGUUUACAUAGUUAAAAGCAUCAUAGGUAUUCGGGACAAUUUGAUUGGAUGGACAUCAGGAAUAUAGGACCAGCACUCGCCCUUCUUCCUAAUUCUAUUGCUAGGAAAUUGCUGAUUAAGGCCAUCUACAUACUACAAGAAUAACUAAUGGUAUAUAGAUAUCAUAUUUAAGUGUGCAAAAACAACUAGUGGUAGAUAAGACUGAGUAGUCAAGAACUGUGAUAGUAUAAAGAUAACAGGUUUACUGCAAGCAAAAGUGAUUUAUGGGACAGAUGAACUUUUAAACUUGGAGAGAAAAACUGGUCAUCAUAAGGAAAACUGAACUUUUUACUUUUUUUUCCUGAACUUCUGAACUUAAAGACAAAGGAAUGUGACUUUAGUCAUACAAAAUGUUGUUGGUGAUAAAGAAUAGAAUUAAUUACAACAUGGAAUCAAGAUCAAUUUGGUUUUCUCAAUAGAGAGGAAUUUGUUUUUGUCAAGAAAUGUAUUGGAAACUCCCAGUGUGGAAAUGUUCUUUACCAACUGUGGAAAUUGGAACCUAUUUUAGAAACUGAUUGGGUCACUCGGAGGUUAAACAGAUAGUGAAAAAGCUAGAAGGCAAACUUAAACUCCAAGGAAGAUCCUCUAGCUUGUCUAUGCAAUGUUGCCACUAAAAGAAUUUAGUAGUUUAAUAAUUUUUAAAGUUUGAACAUACUAUUUUAGCCUUCAAACAAAACACUCAAACCUUCAACCUGAAAAUUUCAAAUUAAAGAUAACAGUGUUAGACUUUUUGUAAUCAUUGCAGAAAAGUUCCUGAAUUACAUAAUGUUAACCCAAGAGGUUGCAUUUCCAGCUCCCUCAAAAAUGUAGACAAAUCUUUGAGGCUGAUUAUGUGGAAUUGAUUUUAUCAGUAUGAAAAGAUUUAUUAAACACCCUCUAUGUGCCAGGCACUGUGCUGUUUUACAAAUAUCUUAGUUGAUCCUCACAACCCACCCUGGAGGGCAAAUUCUAUAACCCUCCUGUUACAGGUAGACUAAACUUCCCCAUAGUCGCACAGCGAGGUCACACAAUUUAUAUCUUAUUUGAUCCUUAAAGCAACCUUGAGGUAAGUAGUGAAAUUUCACCAGCAGUGUGAUGUACCACUCCUGUGUUUCUCCAUGGUCCCAUUGUCUCUUUUUGACAGAUGGAAAAACCAAAGCCACAGGAGUGAUAUGAUUCCCUAGAGCCAUACAACUAGUAAGUGAUGGAUCUAGGAGCCACACAGCAUACACAGGAGAGGACACAUUUUCAUUUAUUUUUCAGGGAUGCAUAUAUUUUAAAAGCUACAAUAAAAUUCAUUUUCCAACACAGAUAAGAUUCCUAUUCUCCCUCCUAUUCCCUAUCCCCUACCCGUUAACUUCCACCGAGAAAACUUUGCAUUUACACUGUAUGAUCUUGUAUGCACCUAGUUAUUUUUUAUUGUCAUUCUUCCUCCAUUUCCUCUUCCCAAAUUAGAAUGAGGUCCUUCAGAGCAAGGACUAUGUUUUUGCCUUUCUUUGUAUUCACAAUGUUUAGUGAUACUGACUAGCAAAAAUUUCUAGGGGAGAUCACUCUACUGUGUUGAUUACAGGUUUUCCUGAUCUAGAGAUUAUUGAGAAAACCAACAAGAAAACCGUUCUCAGUCCCUGGUGCAGAAGUUAGGAUGGGGAUAGCAGCUGAAAGAUGAUCAAGGGUAGCUGAAGAAUUCUUUUAAUUGCCAUUUAGCUUCUAAUGGGUUAUUACUGAUUGAUGACAUUGAGGAAGGAUUCAUAGAAGAGAGAAUAUUUGAUCCUAAAUCUUAGACCAUGUUCAGCAAUGACUUGUGGAUUCUUUUGUCCCUUUCUACCCUUCUACCUGGAGCUUCAAUGACACAGUUACCCAUGUAGGGUAUCAGUUCCUCCUCUUAACAUUUCCUCAGAGAAUUUGGUCUUCAGCAUUGAGGCUUUCAUCUUUUUAUUUUACAAAUAGUCAAAUGUUCCUGAUACACAAUAGAAAAAUGUUUGUUGAAUUCUCAAGUGACAGAAUCCCACAUUUGGGCACUGUGCCUUCUAGCUCUACCUGGGUCUCUGAGCUUUUGGCUUCUUCAACUCAAAGAUCUACUGCACAUUUUUUUGUUUAAAAAAGAAUUCAAACAUGAUUUACUUAGACAUUCUAUUGCUUUCUUUUGACACAAAAUCAUAUACAUUGACUAAGAAGAUGGUUUUGCAAUUUUUUAAACUUCCAUAUCCCUUAAAUUUUUCUCCUUUAAAUUUUCAUUUGUACAAAUGUUAAUAUUGUCUCACAAAGGUAAAAUAUGUUGUCUUCCACAAAUUAUAGAGUCAUAAAACAACAUAUCCUUAUCAAAGUAUUUUGUUCCUAUCAUGGCAGAGAUCUAGCAUAGAGAAUCCAAGCUUAAGAAGGAUCACCUCUCUAUAGUGAGGUCAAGCAAUCAACCAAGCAAAUCAUAACUUAUUUGUACUGUAAAACACUGAGCAAGAUCCUGGGAAUACAAAGAUAAAAAUGACAAGAGUCCUCUGCCCUCAAGGAGUUUAUAUUCUAUCAUAUGUCAUAUGUCCAUUUUGUGAAUGAUGCCCUAAUUAUAUCAAGCCCCUGAACAAUCAUCCUCCUAGAUUAGUUCUGUAAAAUCCCAAAAGAGGUUAGCUUAGUUACACACAAACAAACCUCAUGGAUGAACAAUGUCUUUAUCUAUUGUCCAGAUGUUUGUCCAGUUAAUUGUUUGAACAAAUCCAUUCAUCAAGAUACAAUAUA